UGAGAAACUACUAUAUUUAAUCAUUGGUAAAGAUUAAAAGUCAUAAUCAUCGUCGCCACUUCUACACCGCCCAACCGCGAGGAGCUGAAAAACUUUUUGCUGACUUGAAAAUUAGCGAUGGCAUAAGCGUGACUGGUGAAAGCACGUCUUGAUUACAGUCAGAUUGCUUUGGAGGUAGCUGACAACCAAUUAAAUGGGUCAAAGUAAACCAACAUACCAAUGAUACUGAAGAUAUUUCAAUAAUUUUUUUUCGAAAAAUAGCACCCAUAUCCCACCAUGUUUCGUAUGGUAAAUACGGGGACCCGGAGGGCUGCCAAGUACCUAACAUCGGUGCAGGCAACACAACGAGUCGCUCGCCGUGCAGUGCAGUCUACUAGAACAUGUCUGGCAGAGACAACCAAGAAGAGGAUGGCACAAACAACAUCCUCAACUAAAGCACAGGCCCAGGCUAAGCUGGCUGAGAAACCGAAAGAACAUCCCUGGGUUUUAGUUGAAGGUAAUGAAGCUGCAGCUACCAUGGCAUAUGCUAUGAGUGAGAUUUCCUUCAUCUACCCUAUCUCCCCAGCAACAUCUAUGGGAGACUACAUGGAUAAAUGGAUGACUGAAGGCAGGCGCAAUCUCCUGGACCAGCCAGUACAUGUUAACAUGAUGCAAUCUGAGGGUGGAGCUGCCGGGGCUCUACACGGUGCUGCUGCAGCAGGAACUCUCAGCAGUACAUUCACUGCAUCCCAAGGUCUCCUGCUUAUGAUCCCAAACAUGUAUCUACUGGCUGGUGAACUUGUUCCAACAGUAUUACACGUUUCAGCCAGGACAGUGUCCAAACAUGCCCUCUCCAUAUUCAAUGACCACUCUGAUGUUAUGGCUUGCAGACAAACAGGGUUUGCAAUGUUAUGCUCUAGCUCAGUGCAAGAGAUUAUGGACUUUGGAGCAGUGGCCCAUAUAUCAAGUAUGAAAUCUAGGCUACCAUUUAUGCACUUCUUUGAUGGUUACCGCACAUCGGCUGAAGUCUCAAAGAUUAAAUCUAUCCCAUAUGAAGAACUCAACAAGAUAUUCCCACAUGAAAUGGUUGACAAACAUCUGAGGAACUUUGCCCUUAAUCCUAACAAGCCUAUGGUCAGAGGUACUGGACAAAGACCAGAUAUAUUCUUCCAAAGCACAGUUGCAGCCAACAAAUUCUAUCAAGCCUGCCCCAACCAUGUUGAAGAAACAUUCCGAGAUAUUGAGAUGCUUACUGGUCGCAAAUACAACCUGUUUGACUACCAUGGCUCUCCUGAUGCCACCAGGGUAGCAGUGUUAAUGGGCUCUGGUGCCAAAACAAUGGAGGAAACAGUGGACUAUUUGAAUUCAAAGGGUGAAAAUGUUGGUGUGAUAACUCCUAGGUUAUUUAGACCAUGGUCAGCUGAGCACUUCCUGAGGGCCCUGCCUAAGUCAGUGGAGCAUGUUGCUGUAUUGGAUCGAACCAGGGAAGAUGGUGCAAUUGGAAUGCCACUAUUCCUAGAUAUAAGUGUCACCCUAUCUGAUGCAGGUCUUCGUAAGAAUGUCACUGGAGGCCAAUAUGGGUUGGCGUCUAAAGAGUUCACACCUGAGAUGUGUAAAGCUGUCUUCGACAACCUCUCUUCAGACAAACCAAAAUCUCGCUAUGUUAUUGGCAUAGAGGAUGAUGUCACUCACACCUCAUUGUCCUAUGGGGAGAAGAUCAACACUGUCCCUGAAGGAACCACUCAGUGCCUCUUCUGGGGCUUGGGAACAGAUGGUACAGUUGGAGCCAGUAAGACUGCCAUCAGGACUAUUGGGCUGAAUACUGACUUGAAGGGUCAAGGACAUUUUGUGUUUGAUUCCCAUAAAGGAGAUGGUGUGACAGUUUCCCAUGUCAGGUUUGGUCCCUCAGAUAUCAAAUCAGAAUAUGAAAUCUCCUCAAAUGCCGACUAUAUCUCAUGUGCCCAUGCAUCUUAUGUGAACAAGUUUGAUCUUAUCUCCCCACUGAAGGAAGGAGGCAUAUUUGUGCUGAAUACCCCAUUCACCACCUUGGAGGAGAUGGAGAAAAAGCUACCUGAUGCCCUGAAGAAGGAAAUUGCACAGAAGAAAGCCCAGUUCUACAACAUUGAUGCGACUACUAUUGCCCUUGAACUAGGCCUAGGGAAACGUGUCAACAUGGUAAUGCAGGCUGCAUUCUACUUCCUAUCUGGUGUACUCCCUGUUGACCAGGCAAUCAGCUUGUUGAAGGAGAGCAUCAUUAAACAGUACGGGAAGAAAGGACCCAAGAUGGUUGACAUGAACCAGAGGGCUGUUGAUGCCACAAUUGACAAUCUGAAGAAGAUGGAAUACCCUUCUAGUUGGGCUCAGAUUGGUGAUGUUGUCCCAACUACUCAUGUGUCUCGCGAUGCGCCUGAAUUUAUCAAGAACAUCAUGGACCCAGUGCUGGCACUAGAGGGUGACAAACUCCCAGUGAGUGCUUUUGAACCAGGUGGCUAUCAACCUACCGGAACAACUUUAUUUGAGAAGAGAGGUAUCGCCCCAGCAAUCCCUGUCUGGAUCCCAGACAACUGCACCCAGUGCAACUACUGUACCAUUGUAUGCCCCCAUGCAGUUGUGAGACCCUUCUUACUGGACAAGAGUGAAGUCAAAGGAGCGCCGAAGGGUUAUGAAUCUAGAAAAUCCAAAGGUGGUGCUGAGGUGGCUGGAUUCAAUUACACAAUUCAGAUAUCGCCAUUUGAUUGUACUGGAUGUGAAGUUUGUGUGCAGUCCUGUCCAGAUGAUGCCCUCUACAUGGCUCCAUUCAAGGAGGUCUCUGAUCAGUUCAAGCCACACUGGGACUACUCCAUUGGUCUCCCAGAGAGAUCAGAUGUUGGAGACAAGUUCACAGUGAAGGGAUCCCAGUUCCAGACUCCCCUUAUGGAAUUCUCCGGUGCAUGUGCAGGCUGUGGUGAGACCCCAUAUGUGAAAUUGAUUACUCAGUUGUUUGGUGAUCGUAUGGUGAUUGCUAAUUCAUCUGGGUGCUCCAGUGUAUGGGGAGGUACUUCAACUACCAUCCCAUUCUCUAAGAACUCAGAAGGCAAAGGUCCAGCUUGGGGCAGGUCUCUGUUUGAGGAUACAGCAGAGUAUGGCUUUGGAAUGGUUGUGGCCACCAAGCAGAGAAGAACAAAGUUGAAGAAGGAAAUCACGACAUUGACCGAAACAGAGGAACUACCAGACAAUCUGAAAAAAGCAUUUGGUAACUGGCUGAAAAAUAUUGAUAAUGCUGAGCCAUGUGAGAAAUUUUCAUCUGAGAUUGAAGAUAUUAUUGGAAACAUGGACUUGGACACAAUUAACCCUGCACUGAGACGUAUAUAUGAACAGAGGGACAUGCUCCGCACUCAGUCUCACUGGAUCGUUGGAGGAGAUGGAUGGGCCUAUGAUAUUGGUUAUGGGGGUUUAGACCAUGUUCUCUCCAAGGCAGAGAAUGUCAAUAUCCUUGUGCUUGACACUGAAAUGUACUCAAACACAGGAGGACAGGUCUCUAAAGCUACCCAGCUCUCAACUGUAACCAAGUUUGCAUCAUCUGGAAAGCGUCAGAGCAAGAAAGAUCUUGGAAUGAUGGCCAUGAUGUAUGAGAAUGUCUAUGUUGCAUCAGUCGCUCUUGGAGCCAACAUGAACCAGUGUGUGCAGGCAAUGAAGGAGGCAGAGUCAUACAAUGGUACCAGUCUAGUUAUCUGCUAUGCUCCUUGCAUUGAUUGGGGCAUUGAGAUGAAAUACAUGAUGGAUGAAAUGAAGGAUGCUGUUGAUAGUGGAUACUGGUCCCUCUAUAGAUUUGACCCACGUAGAGCAGAACAAGGCAGUAAUCCAUUUACUCUGGACUCAAGGCGCAUCAAGACAGAGCUCCAGGCAUUCUUGAACACAGAAAACAGGUUCCAGCAACUGGUGAGGAUGAACAAAAACCAGGCUAUAGAUUUACAUGCAGAGCUAAGCAAUCUGGCCAAACACAAGCACGAGAAGUUCAAGAAGAUGGCUAUGGAUGAAUAUGAGAUGCUCGACUACCUCAAGGGAACUUUAGGAGAGGAGAUAUCUGGGGACAAGAGCUUGGUGCUCUAUGCUUCUGAGACUGGCAAUGCUGAAGCUCUUUCUAAUGUCUUUGCUCAUGAGCUGAAACGUAGAGGUAUCAGGGCUUCAUGCAUGGCCUUUGAUGACUAUGACUUUGAUGAUCUGCCAAACCAGUCAAGUGUUUACUGUGUCGUGGCAACCUGUGGACAGGGAGAGUUUCCAGCCAACAGCAAGACUUUCUGGGAGCAGAUGAGUAACAAAGAUCUCGCCCCUGAUACUCUUGCCAACACUAAGUUUGCAGUGUUUGGUCUAGGUGACACUGGAUAUGUCUACUACAAUGAAUCAGCCAAACAAUUUGACAAGAGAUUUGAGGAGCUAGGAGCCACCAGGAUCCUAAACAUUGGACUGGGUGAUGAUAAAGAUGAAGAGAAAUAUGAAACUGCAUGGAAUGAGUGGUGCCCUGAGUUAUGGAGUGAGCUAGGAACCCCUGCCCCUCCCCAAGAGCUGCUCCCAGCUUCCUAUUCAGUAUACAUUGACCAGGCUGGCACCAUCCCUGUGGCUGAGGGUCCUAUCUGUGCCCCACCUGGCACCAAACAGUGCCCUAUGCCCGUCAAUAUGCUUCUGAGUCCCCCAGAUUAUGACCGAGAUAUUCGUCAUUAUGAGUUUGACCUGAAAGGAUUAAACAUGCCUUAUGGUGUUGGAGAGUGCCUUGGUAUCUACCCUCACAAUGAUCCUAAACAGGUAGACCAGUUCCUGCAAGAUUAUGGCAUGAGCCCAAAUGCUGUUGUCCAGCUCGAAGACACUACCAACCGUAAAGAACCCUACCCAAGUAUUGUCUCUGCCAAGCAGCUAUUCACAGAGAUCAUUGACAUAUUUGGACGGCCCAGUAGACGAUUCUAUGAAGCACUUGGAAUCUUGUGCAAAGAUGAGAGUGAGAAGAAGAGAAUUGAGUUCCUCUUAAGCAAAGAAGGAAAGGAUGAUUUCCGGGAGUUAGUGAAGGAAACUACAACAUAUGCAGACCUGUUGAAGAUGUUCCCAUCAGCCAAUGUUCCCCUAGAGUACAUCAUAGACUAUAUCCCCAGAAUCAAGCCAAGGCUUUAUUCUAUUGCAUCAUCACAAGAGAUGCAUGGCGAUAGACUACACCUGUGUAUCGUGAAGGAAGACUGGACCACUCCUAGUGGCAAGUACCAAGAGGGGGCAUGUACCAGAUACCUACAACACCUAAGUCUAGAUGGAAAGUUAGAUAGUGUGGCUGGACGCAUCAAUGCUGCAGGCAUCACACUACCUGACACUCAGAAACCUCCUUACAUCAUGGUUGGUCUUGGAACAGGUCUUGCCCCUCUCAGAGCAAUGGUUGAGGAGCGUGAAAUGGCUAGGGUCAGAGGAGAGGAGUGUGGCCAAAUGGCUCUUUUCUUCGGUGCCCGCUACAAGCGUACCGACUACACAUACGGUGAUGAGCUAGAGGAAUACCACAGCAAUGGCAAGGGAGUCCUUACUGUUUUGUCCAAUGCAUUUUCCAGAGACCAGGCUCACAAGAUCUAUGUACAGGAUCGAAUCAAGGAACAUCCAGAGGUUGUGUAUGACUACCUUGUAAAGCAGAAGGGAUACUUCUACCUUUGCGGCCCUGCUGGUAACGUCCCUACCGCGGUCAGGAAAGGCGUUUGUGAAGCAUUUGUUUCACAAGGUGGCAUGACUAUGGAACAAGCUGAUAAGUAUAUCACUGAUAUGCAAAUUGAGGGACGCUACAAUAUAGAAGCCUGGUAAACUUAGUACAAUUAAUAAUAUAAGCCAAAUAUGUCAGGCAAGCCAGCCAUAUAACAAUAUUGGUACAUUAUAUACAAGAAUAUGAAACGGUGAGUGGGUACCAAAUAAAUUAAUAAAUAGCCAUUUGCAGCAUAAAAAGAGACAAAUUGUGAUAUGAACACAUGCAUCAUGGCAGUAUUCUCAACAGCAUAUUAUAAGGAGUAAAUAAACAAUAGAACUAUACUAAUUUUUCAAGCUCCAUUCAAAGGUUGUUCACACGCACAUUGUAGAUACAAUUAUUAAAUGGAUAGUUGGAAGCUCAAGUGCUGUGGGGCAAGUCUAAUGAUGAUUCAAUAUACAUGUACAUUGACAAAAUAAUCAGUAAUGGGAAAGGAACAAACAACAUUUGUGAAGAAUUGAAUAAACUAUUGUAAUCCUCUAAGUGUACUAGUAUAUGCCAAAUGUAUGCAAAUUUUCCUGAGAUUCAAAAAGUAUAUUUUCACUUGGGUAAUUGGAUGUUAUAGGCCUAGAAGAAGUUCUUGAGUUUUGUUUGAAAAAAAUGUAGUAUUGCGUCCCACCUAAUUGAUUUGGAAAAUAUCCAAAUUUUGCAGGAUAUUUUUCAUAGAAGUAAUUGUUUCCUUUUGUGAUGUUAAAGUCAUGUGAAAGUACAUACUAGUACAUGAAGAGCUCAAAUAUUGUAAUGCAACAUCCCGGUAAAUGCUUCACCCAUUACUGCUUAUUUUCUCAAUGGAUAAGAGGAGGGGCUAUAGGUAUGAAAGAUGCUUUUGUAAAUUCUAUUUUCAUAGACAUACAUGUAAUGAGUGAGUGAUUCAAUUUAUAGUAUGUAAAUAUGUUUUAUUUUCUCCAAUAUUGACCUGUAUAUUAUUGCAGUGUAAGUAGUGUUUUCUCCUUUUACAUUCCAUUGUUGACCCUUGUAUCACGUUUGAAUGUAAAAGGAUGAAUGAAGAUGAUGAAUUAAUACUACAGUAUAAUUAAAAUAAAAUGAAAUUGUAGUUAAUAUAAUUGAAUGCUAAAACCAUGUUGUGAAUCAGGGAACAUCCUCAUGCUAUGUCAUUCUUUCAAUCUAAGUCAGCUUGGUUGUGUAAUAACCAUUAAAUGUCUAAUAAUUGAAUGAAGAAUCACUUGGUGCUUAAAUCAUGUCCAUGAAUGCAGCUUAUGUGGGUGAUCAUGCAAUUCUUUGAAAUAACAAAACUGAUUUUUUGUUUUGCUGAUGUUUAACUGUUUAAGAUUGUAAAACAGUGUUUCAAUUCCAGCUAAAAAUAUGUGCCAUUGAAUGAAAACCCGAUUAAGCGAAUUACCGGUGUUGUAUACUUUAUUUUUUUGAGAUUUAUAUCAUUAUCCUGGCUCAAUUUUUUAUGUGUGCCUGAAUAGCAGCUGUUAGUCAAAGAUCACAUUGCUUUAUAUUUUUAUUAAAUUUUUUUUAAGGUGGACAAGAUUUUUGCUUUUGCUUACAAGUUCACAAUGAAGUUAUUAUAAAACUUUUGCUUUGCAGCAUCAUAAUCAUUAAUUUUCAUGGGUAUAAAGUAUAAGAUAAAAACAAACGUUAAGUUAAAAACUGGUUUGCUUGACUUAGCUAUGAGUAAUUUGAUUUGAGAUGUAAAAUAAAAUGUUUUUGAAAACUAA
rnacentral:misc_RNA from 1 species